rnacentral:rRNA from 1 species
UACGAAGGGGGCUAGCGUUGCUCGGAAUCACUGGGCGUAAAGCGCACGUAGGCGGCUUUCUAAGUCAGGGGUGAAAUCCUGGAGCUCAACUCCAGAACUGCCUUUGAUACUGGAGAGCUUGAGUCCGGGAGAGGUGAGUGGAACUCCGAGUGUAGCGGUGGAAUGCGCAGAUAUCAGGAGGAACACCAACGGCGAAGGCAGCUCGCUGGGACGGUACUGACGCUAAGGCGCGAAAGCGUGGGGAGCGAACAGG